UGUAUGGCAUGUAGCUACUAAUGAGGUAAGUGUGAAUAACCUCUUUAACAGGAUUGCGGCUGUUCUGUUCCUGCUUACCGAUGGUGAGUAGAAUAGGUGAAAGUUUGACGAAUUUAAUCCGGUCACUGCAUUGCGAUCGAGACGAGAGUCUUCCAAUUGGGGCACUUUUUGACAAACUUCCUCGUUGCAUUUGACAAUCUUAGCCCCGUUCAACCAUCCAGCACGAUAAAGGGCCAUGAGACCGUUCAGAAUGAUUCCACGAGUUGUUAUCUCGACACUUCUCGUCGCUUUAAUCGAUCAGUGACGCAAUGAGGUUUCUCCUGGGCAUAUCGCUUAAGUUGGUCCUCUGUUUAGGCCUCUUCGACAUUGGUUGAGGGUUUUCAGUUGGCUUUGCGUUUGAACUCCUCUCACUGUGGUAUUGUAUUUUAUCUCAUAAUCAUAUAAUUUUUGUCUGUAUCCUUUAAUUGCACGAUUUAAAGUAAUUGAAUAAUGUUAUUUGAGCUCCUGUGCAUAAUUACGACAUCAACAACAAGAACACACAUCAUUUGUAUCCUGAUAUUGAAUAUUUCGCUCAUCAGAAUUUCCAAGCCCUAUUCAAAUUACCAAACAAAUUAGAUGCUAUUUAUUUCCAACUUGUCUAUUACAACUGUCUAAUAAAAAAUAAAGUCAGUUAACAUCUUACGAAGAAUCAUAGAGGCUAUAGCGUUUAACAAAAUAAAACAUUUGUUAUACCCGGUACUCGAAGAGUAAAUAGGGUAU